GACGAACGCUGGCGGCGUGCCUAAUACAUGCAAGUAGAACGCACAGUUUAUACCGUAGCUUGCUACAACAUAGACUGUGAGUUGCGAACGGGUGAGUAACGCGUAGGUAACCUGCCUGGUAGCGGGGGAUAACUAUUGGAAACGAUAGCUAAUACCGCAUAAUAUUAAUUAUUGCAUGAUAAUUAAUUGAAAGGUGCAAUUGCACCACUACCAGAUGGACCUGCGUUGUAUUAGCUAGUAGGUGAGGUAACGGCUCACCUAGGCGACGAUACAUAGCCGACCUGAGAGGGUGAUCGGCCACACUGGGACUGAGACACGGCCCAGACUCCUACGGGAGGCAGCAGUAGGGAAUCUUCGGCAAUGGACGAAAGUCGGACCGAGCAACGCCGCGUGAGUGAAGAAGGUUUUAGGAUCGUAAAGCUCUGUUGUAAGAGAAGAACGGGUGUGAGAGUGGAAAGUUCACACUGUGACGGUAUCUUACCAGAAAGGGACGGCUAACUACGUG
rnacentral:rRNA from 1 species